rnacentral:misc_RNA from 1 species
UGAAUUUGCAUACAGCAACUAAUUUACAUUUACCCAAAAAUUCAGAAUAGUGUUAUGUUUUACGCAAAAUUAUAUAUUACAAAAAUAUCAUAAUAAUUAAAAAAAAACACAACAAUUAAUUAUUUAUACAGCUAAUUGAAUAUCCCCAAUUUCAAGCUGUGCAGCAAUAUCUUCAAGUUGUUUCUUCACACUCAUAUCAAUCAAUUUAGAUCCUGAAUUUCCAUACCUUAUUGUAAAUCCAGCAACAAGAGAUUCAUCAAUCACUGUUUUGAUCCUCACAUUUUUCGCUCCUGUUAAUCGUUGAACUCCUUUUGCGAUCUGUGCUAAAUGUUGCGAUUCCAGUUUCACCACUGAAGUCACUACAGCAAGUUCAGUAUCCGUCAAGGUAUUGUAAACUUUCUCAAACUCUUUAACAAUGUCUUUGAUUAAUUCAACUCUCUUCAUAUCAACAAGGAUGUUGAGAAAAUUUGCAACGUGUGGUUGAAUGCCUGUAGAUGAAACGAUCUCGUCGACGAGUUCACGUUUUUUCUCUUCGCUAACGAUAGGACUUACGAAGAAAUCGUAAACCGCAUCGUCGUCGAAGAUUUUCUCGAUUUUUUCGAGAUCUGCUGUGGUUUGUUCUAGUGUUUCGUUGGAUUUAGCUACGUCGGCGAGAGCGUUCGCGUAGCUACCGGCGGCGGAAUCUGCCAUUUUUGCGCCGAGUACACCGCGGCCGCGGCCGCGGCGGGAGGUGCGUUUGGAUCGGAGUUUGAGUGUGAGUUUUGGGAGCUUGAGACCGCCGGAGUAGGAUAGCUUUGCGACGGUUCCGUUGAUGAGUUGAGUCGGCGGCGGUGAACGGGAUUGGAAAGUUAUCGGAGUUUGUUGUAGAGCCGCCAUUGAUGAAAAAUCAAAUCUCUAUGCUCGAGAAAAAUUGAGAGGAGAGUAGAGGUUUGAGAGUGAGAAAUGAGAAAAGGGAUUAUGGAGGGUAAUGAACGGUUGAGAUUAAAGAUGAAACAGAGAUCGACGGUGAUGAAGGGAUAAG